ensembl:lncRNA LINC03048 long intergenic non-protein coding RNA 3048
GGCCUCAGUUAACUCUUAAAUGGGUGUCAGAGGCACUGUCUUCCCCUAGCUAUGCGCCUCGUGCCUGGGAGCCUUAGGGCCACACGGAAGGGUAGAAAUCAGUUUCAGGUCAGGAGGUCUGGAACAGCUUUGUUAAACCCAGUUUUUUUCCUAUGAAAAUGGCUGCAGACACUGGGGGAGGGAGAGGGUGGCCCUGAUCCCGAUGACUCUGAAACAUGCUUGGCCUUCCCCAGAGAUUCCUGCUCCCAGCCCAGGCCCAGACGGCAACAGAAGCUCAUGGAAUGGCAGACUCUGGACAUGCUCCUAGAGAUGGGAGGUCAAAAUGAUCAACGUUCAGGGUCCCUUCAUCUCAGAGGGUCUCGAGUCACCUCAUUUAAAGUGUGGCCUGGGACACCUCCUAUCCAGCCAUACGCCGCCCAGGACUGGCUCAACAGCUCCACCCUCCACUGCUGUUCACCCAUGACACGUCACUUCCCACCCGCCACUGCUGGCUCACCUGUGACACCCCAGGCAGCUCAGAUGCCCGGCAGGUCCUGCUGGUGUGUGUUAGCCGGGGUCUCCAAAGAACCAGAGCCAGCAGGGGACACACCCAUCUCUGUAUCUGGAGAAAAAGAUCGAUGAGAAGGAAUCUGCUCCUGUGAUGAUGGAGGCUGACAAGUCCCGAGAGCCACGGUUGGCACCCUGGAGACCCCUGAGGGUGAUACCACCACUCCAGGCUGAAAGCUGGCAGGCUUGAGACCCUGGGAGAGCUGGCCCUCUGACUCCUGGGACUUCUUAUUCUAUCCUAGUAUUUCCUCAGCUGAGUGCAUGGGGCCAGACCACACUGGGGAGGGCAGUCAGCGUCACUCAGAGCACCGGGUCAUCUCAUGCAGAAACACCCUCAAAGAAAUAGCCCAAAUUAUGCUGACCAAAUAUCUGGGCACCCCGUGCCCCAGACAAGUUGACACAGAAAAUUAACCAUCACAGGUUAACUCCAUCCAGGAGUGGAAUUGCUGGGUCAUAGAGAAGGCAUAGGAAUUCACAGAAAUCACCAAACGGUUUUCAGGCGGUUGUGCCAUGUUAAACUCCCACUGGAAAGAGAGGAGAGCUGUGAUUGUUCCACGUCCUCAGCAACGUUUAGAAUAGGCAGUCUUUGGCCGGGCCGGGCACAGAGGCUCAAACCUGUAACCCCAGCACUUUGGGAGGCCAUAGUGGGUGGAUUACCUGAGAUCAAGAGUUCAAGACCAGCCUGGCCAACAUGGUUAAACCCCGUCUCUAUUAAAAAUGCAAAAAUUAGCCAGGCGUGGUGGUGCGUGCCUGUAAUUCCAGCUACUUGGGGGCUGAGGCAGGAGAAUCGUUUGAACCCAGGAGGCAGAGUUUGCAGCGAGCCGAGAUCGCGCCACUGCACUCCAGCCUGGGCAACAGAAUGAGACUCUGUCUCCAAAAAAAGAAAAAAUAAAUAAAGAAAAGUCAUUCUGUAGUUUUAGCCUUUGUGAAGGCAUGAAGUGGCAUCUC